rnacentral:tRNA from 2 species
CGGGAAGUAGCGCAGCCCGGUAGCGCGCGUCGUUCGGGACGACGAGGCCGCAGGUUCGAAUCCUGUCUUCCCGA